rnacentral:rRNA from 1 species
GCAAGUCGAACGGAAAGGCCCUUCGGGGCGCUCGAGUGGCGAACGGGUGAGUAACACGUGGGUGAUCUGCCCUGCACUCUGGGAUAAGCCUGGGAAACUGGGUCUAAUACCGGAUAGGACCAUGGGAUGCACGUCUUGUGGUGGAAAGCGUUUUGUAGCGGUGUGGGAUGGGCCCGCGGCCUAUCAGCUUGUUGGUGGGGUGAUGGCCUACCAAGGCGACGACGGGUAGCCGGCCUGAGAGGGUGUCCGGCCACACUGGGACUGAGAUACGGCCCAGACUCCUACGGGAGGCAGCAGUGGGGAAUAUUGCACAAUGGGCGCAAGCCUGAUGCAGCGACGCCGCGUGGGGGAUGACGGCCUUCGGGUUGUAAACCUCUUUCAAUAGGGACGAAGCGGAAGUGACGGUACCUAUAGAAGAAGCACCGGCCAACUACGUGCCAGCAGCCGCGGUAAUACGUAGGGUGCGAGCGUUGUCCGGAAUUACUGGGCGUAAAGAGCUCGUAGGUGGUUUGUCGCGUUGUUCGUGAAAACUCACAGCUUAACUGUGGGCGUGCGGGCGAUACGGGCAGACUGGAGUACUGUAGGGGAGACUGGAAUUCCUGGUGUAGCGGUGGAAUGCGCAGAUAUCAGGAGGAACACCGGUGGCGAAGGCGGGUCUCUGGGCAGUAACUGACGCUGAGGAGCGAAAGCGUGGGGAGCGAACAGGAUUAGAUACCCUGGUAGUCCACGCCGUAAACGGUGGGUACUAGGUGUGGGUUUCCUUC